GAGCCCGUGGCUCAAUGGUAGAGCGUUCGACUCAAAUAACAAAGGUCGCGGGUUCGAAUCCCAGGUUCG
rnacentral:tRNA from 1 species